GUUACUCAUGUAAUGCACAUAGUAAAAUUGGAAUGAUACAGAGAAGGUUAGCAUGUGCCUUGUGUAAAGGUGGCAGCAGACUAAGUAGCUCAUCCUUCAAUU